UGACCUGCCACAGGCCACAGUAGGGAUUCAAACCUGGUCCACCCAACUGCAGAUCUCAGCUCUGGACCCCAGGUGCCUGGCUGCCCUCAGCCCACCUAGCCACGCCCACCCACUUCAUCCAGCUUCCUCCCUGGAGAGCUCAGAGCCCACUGGACCCAGGCCCCCAUCCCGGGACCCGGGAUUCAAGUGACAGAAUUAUUGGACCAACAAGGGAUGGAAGGGGACAAGGGCCUCAGAACCCCAGAUUCAGGUUCGUGUACCUGAUAUGCAGCGGAGGUCAAAAACUGACACAAGUGCUUGGAGAUAGAAAAAGAUUUACUUCAUUUGGCUAAAGUAAGAAGACAAGAAAGCAAAUUCCUCCACUCCAUGUUAACAAAAGGAUGAAGCAGGGAGUUUUUAUGUGGCUAAGGAGUGAGGGAGGUGGCAUUUCAGGGGAAAAGUCUGUGUUUAUUCCGUCUCAGGUAACAUCUUAAGCAACUAGACUUGCGGGCGACAGCGGCUGGUCUCUACGUCCCUAAAGGCAUUCACUCCUGCAAAAUACUUUUGUGACUCUGAAGUUAUCUCCUCCUCCUUCUUGACAAAGAAACAGGACAUCUGCAGCUUAUGAUCACAUUGUGUGAACAAGGGAUGCUGGGCAAAAAGCAAGCAGUUAACUUGUACAAGCAGGCAAGGGCCAAAUCAGAAUUUUCUUUACUUCAGUCACAAAAAUGCUGGGUACUGAAAUCUCAACUCACCUGGUGUCACUCCCAGGGCACAGGCUAGGACAACACACACCCGUCCCUGGAGAACUCUGGGCUGGUUCCCCCUUCUCCCCCUGCUGACCCCCUCUUAGUCUACCUCCGCUCCUCCCUUCCCCCACCAGAGAACCUCCCAGGGUUUCCAUUUCCUCCCGGAUAACACGUGCUGCCCUGUGAGGAGUUGCUAAAGUCAAGAGCAAGGUGGCAGAGGGCUUUCGAGCAAGAGGCGACCUGACUUCAGAGACCCUCAGUCCCCAAGACAGACGCAUGCCCUUCGAGAGAGCGGCCGCCCCAGGCACAGGCAGGCUCCGGGCUGUCAGGAUGGGAGCACGUGGUCCUCUUCCACCCACCACCCGAACCUCCCCUGCUCCCCGCACCCAUUUCCCUGUGGUCACUGUAAUCGGACCCCAGUCCAGUCCCCUUCCCCACUGACUCUGGGAGCUGGGGUUGAUGCUGGGGCUGGAGCAGUGACCAGCCCAUGGUGACCCCGGCCCCAUCCAGGUACUAGGCCACUGGCCACCAAUCAACUAUGGUUUCCCAAGCACCCAUAUGUGCCCAGCCUGGGCUUGGGACCCAGGCCUAGUCCUGCCCGGCCCACUGCAGCAGUAAUAGUGGGCUCUUCCUGGAGAGAACCUGGACCACAGUCUCUCUGCCUCAACAUCUCAGUAUGAAGGGCCAGAGACCCUCCUGAUGGUCACCUUAGGAGCACAAAUGUGAUCCUGCCAGGAAGAAGUAAUAAAAUGUGGAUGUUGCCUUC